rnacentral:rRNA from 1 species
UCUGGUGGCGAGUGGCGAACGGGUGAGUAAUGUAUCGGAACGUGCCCAGUAGCGGGGGAUAACUACGCGAAGGCGUAGCUAAUACCGCAUACGCCCUACGGGGGAAAGCAGGGGAUCGCAAGACCUUGCACUAUUGGAGCGGCCGAUAUCGGAUUAGCUAGUUGGUGGGGUAACGGCUCACCAAGGCGACGAUCCGUAGCUGGUUUGAGAGGACGACCAGCCACACUGGGACUGAGACACGGCCCAGACUCCUACGGGAGGCAGCAGUGGGGAAUUUUGGACAAUGGGGGAAACCCUGAUCCAGCCAUCCCGCGUGUGCGAUGAAGGCCUUCGGGUUGUAAAGCACUUUUGGCAGGAAAGAAACGUCAUGGGUUAAUACCCCGUGAAACUGACGGUACCUGCAGAAUAAGCACCGGCUAACUACGUGCCAGCAGCCGCGGUAAUACGUAGGGUGCAAGCGUUAAUCGGAAUUACUGGGCGUAAAGCGUGCGCAGGCGGUUCGGAAAGAAAGAUGUGAAAUCCCAGAGCUUAACUUUGGAACUGCAUUUUUAACUACCGGGCUAGAGUGUGUCAGAGGGAGGUGGAAUUCCGCGUGUAGCA